CCAUUAUUUAGGGAUAGUCCCAAGGCGUCUUGCGGCGACUUCAGGUGAAGCAGCGGGAGUGCUUUUUCGUUGAUCAUGGCCUCGGUAAUGGA
rnacentral:tRNA from 1 species